UUUAGAUACUUGCAGAAAUAUUUAAUAGUUUGAUGUGAACUCCCUCAAAGCUUUAACACAAAAUUAUAUGUGUGUUUUAAGCUCGGUUCUCUGUAAAAAAAAGUUUUCUUUUGGGGUUCCCCCUUUAUUUGUUGUACAUGGGGCACUAAUUAGCGCUACACCACGCCUGAAAGCUGUGCGCUUUCUCGGGCUAUUCAGUCACAUGGUGACCGCUGGACUGGUAAGAUGUGCAUUCACUCUCUCUCGUGUAAAAGUCCCUCUUUAGGAGCUUAGAGCUCUAUAAAUCUGAUGAAGGAUGUAUUAUAACCUCAUAGUGAAGCUGAAUUGCCGUUCUUAAUGAGAACACAGCGCAAAUAGUGUUUUUAACCCCAGUUUUGUGCCUCAUGAGUUUUUUGCCUUGUGCAGGAGAGGGAGAGAGAGCGUGAGCCUGUCUGCCUGCGUGCGUGUGUUAUGCUAACUCUGCCCCAUGUUUUGUGCUCAGGAAAACUGACACAGUCACAUGGUGACCGCUGGACUGGAGAGGGAGAGAGAGCGUGAGCCUGUCUGCCUGCGUGCGUGUGUUAUGCUAACUCUGCCCCAUGUUUUGUGCUCAGUUCCAGCAAUAAAAUCCUGAAGUCUGACUCUA